GUGCGGGACGUGUCCCGUUUUGUAUGUACCUUAUGAAUAAGGAUCGGCUAACUCCGUGCCAGCAGCCGCGGUAAUACGGAGGAUCCGAGCGUUAUCCGGAUUUAUUGGGUUUAAAGGGUGCGUAGGCGGCCUUUUAAGUCAGCGGUGAAAGUCUGUGGCUCAACCAUAGAAUUGCCGUUGAAACUGGGAGGCUUGAGUAUGUUUGAGGCAGGCGGAAUGCGUGGUGUAGCGGUGAAAUGCUUAGAUAUCACGCAGAACCCCGAUUGCGAAGGCAGCCUGCCAAGCCAUGACUGACGCUGAUGCACGAAAGCGUGGGGAUCAAACAGGAUUAGAUACCCUGGUAGUCCACGCAGUAAACGAUGAUCACUAGCUGUUUGCGAUACACAGUAA
rnacentral:rRNA from 1 species